rnacentral:lncRNA from 1 species
UGAAUGGUAAAUCAAAAUGUAGCAACAGGAAGCAUUCAAAGCUCCUAGAGUCAACUUUUGUUGGGAAGAAAGCAAGUGGAAAUAUGGUUGCUGCCUAAGAAGUAAUAAUAGGAGAUACAAGAAACAGCUUGAAAUGGAAUAGGAAAAGUCUCUGUGGUAGAGCAAUUUGAAUGAAAAGAAGAAUAAACAGGUGUCCAACAAUAAGAUUUCCAAGAUAGGAAGAAAGAGAGGGUUCAGAAAGAAGCUGGUGCCCUUUGCUGAAGGAUAUCUCCUGUGUUCUUCAGCGGCAAAAGCAGAAUAAAAAACAUUUCAUUUUAUGGAAGAAAUUAGACACACAUCUGUUAUUCCAGAACUUCCAUAUUAAAUGCUUAUCUACACAAGCCAUGUCAAUUAAAACUGUCUGUAUGCAACAAGAAAUAUUUUAAGUCGUAUUGAUAUACAACGACUGUUACAGAAUUUGGCCCCCUUUUAUUUUGUCUUAAUGGAAAGGAAGCCUUUCAUUCCUUGAGUAGUUAAAAACCUAGGUUUAUCUCUGUUGUAACCAACCUCAGAAGAAUUAUACUAAUUCAUUUGGCUUUUAGAUCUAUUUAAAUCUUGUAAAAAUAUAGCUUUUCACCUCUACAUCCCUAGCAUUGAACAUGGUGGCUAUUUAAUAAAUAGUUACACAGUCAUUAAAGGAAUAUAUGAGUGAGAAUAAGAAAAAAAACCUUCAAGAUUCUUAAAACAAGGUGAAAUUAUAUUUGAAAAUACAGACUUUAUUUGAGAAUUAAACCUGAUUUUUAUUCUCAGUACUAACAGCUAAAAUAGUAAAAUUAAUGAAGUUAAUUUCGCUGUUAUUGUUUUUUGAGAUGGAGGCUUGCUCUGUCACUGAGGCUGGAACAUAAUCUCAACUCACUACAACCUCUGCCUCCUGGGUUCAAGUGAUUCUCCUGCCUCAGCCUCCUGAGUAGCUGGGAUUAUAGUUGUGUGCCACCACACCUGGCUAAUUUUUAUAUUUUUAGUAGAGAUGGGGUUUUCAACAUGUUG